rfam:Danio rerio chromosome 7, GRCz11 reference primary assembly.
CUUGUCCUCAUGUGUAAGUCGCUUUGGAUAAAAGCAUCUGCUAAAUGACUAAAU